AGCGAACGCUGGCGGCAGGCCUAACACAUGCAAGUCGAACGAACUCUUCGGAGUUAGUGGCGGACGGGUGAGUAACACGUGGGAACGUGCCUUUAGGUUCGGAAUAACUCAGGGAAACUUGUGCUAAUACCGAAUGUGCCCUUCGGGGGAAAGAUUUAUCGCCUUUAGAGCGGCCCGCGUCUGAUUAGCUAGUUGGUGAGGUAAAGGCUCACCAAGGCGACGAUCAGUAGCUGGUCUGAGAGGAUGAUCAGCCACAUUGGGGCUGAGACACGGCCCAAACUCCUACGGGAGGCAGCAGUGGGGAAUCUUGCGCAAUGGGCGAAAGCCUGACGCAGCCAUGCCGCGUGAAUGAUGAAGGUCUUAGGAUUGUAAAAUUCUUUCACCGGGGACGAUAAUGACGGUACCCGGAGAAGAAGCCCCGGCUAACUUCGUG
rnacentral:rRNA from 1 species